rfam:Chlamydotis undulata macqueenii contig101000, whole genome shotgun sequence.
CUAGGAGAACCGAAAACAGUUCUAGACUGACCUGCGGUUUUAUAGCACUUUGGCAGUCAACUUCAGCUUGUGUCAGAGCAGACAGGCCAGAGCUGCCCAAGGCUUUAAUCACGGGACGUCACCUCCUCGGACGCGGUGCAGCUCCCCUCCACCACCGCCCCAACCCACCCGCUACCCCUUGCAUUUCAAUAAAUUUCCGACCUCGGGGCUAGAAAUGGGGAGCAGAGCCG